CAGUCGCCACGGUAACACGGAGGGUGCAAGCGUUAAUCGGAAUUACUGGGCGUAAAGCGUGCGUAGGCGGUUCGUUAAGUCUGUUGUGAAAGCCCCGGGCUCAACCUGGGAAUGGCAAUGGAUACUGGCGAGCUAGAGUGUGUCAGAGGAUGGUGGAAUUCCCGGUGUAGCGGUGAAAUGCGUGGAUAUGCGGAGGAACACCGAUGGCGAAGGCAGCCCCCUGGGCCAACACUGACGCUCAUGCACGAAAGCGUGGGGAGCAAACAGGAUUAGAUACCCCCGUAGUCCCUGUCUCUUAUAC
rnacentral:rRNA from 1 species